UGAAUUAAACCAAUGCUUAUGCCUAUGCUCCGUUGAUGCGGGCUCUAAGACAAGCAAGUGUAGGCCUAGCUAGACA